rnacentral:rRNA from 1 species
AGAAUCAACGCUGGCGGCGUGCCUAACACAUGCAAGUCGAACGAGAAAGUGGAGCAAUCCAUUAGUAAAGUGGCGCACGGGUGAGUAACACGUGACUAACCUACCCUUGAGUGGGGGAUAACCUAGGGAAACCUGGGCUAAUACCGCAUAAUACCUUCGGGUCAAAGGAGCAAUUCGCUUAAGGAGGGGUCGCGGCCGAUUAGUUAGUUGGCGGGGUAAUGGCCCACCAAGACGAUGAUCGGUAUCCGGCCUGAGAGGGCGCACGGACACACUGGAACUGAAACACGGUCCAGACUCCUACGGGAGGCAGCAGUGGGGAAUUUUGCGCAAUGGGGAAACCCUGACGCAGCAACGCCGCGUGGAGGAUGAAGCCCCUUGGGGCGUAAACUCCUUUCGAUCGGGACGAUUAUGACGGUACCGGAAGAAGAAGCCCCGGCUAACUUCGUGCCAGCAGCCGC